rnacentral:tRNA from 1 species
GGGGAUUUAGCUUAGUGGCAUAAGCACCUGCCUGGCAAGUGCAGGGUCAUGAGUUCAAUCCCCU